GUAGGUGGCAAGCGUUGUCCGGAAUUAUUGGGCGUAAAGCGCGCGCAGACGGUUCUUUAAGUCUGAUGUGAAAGCCCACGGCUCAACCGUGGAGGGUCAUUGGAAACUGGAGAACUUGAGUACAGAAGAGGAAAGCGGAAUUCCACGUGUAGCGGUGAAAUGCGUAGAGAUGUGGAGGAACACCAGUGGCGAAGGCGGCUUUCUGGUCUGUAACUGACGCUGAGGCGCGAAAGCGUGGGGAGCAAACAGGGAUUAGAUACCCUGGUAGUCCACGCCGUAAACGAUGAGUGCUAAGUGUUAGGGGGGUUUCCGCCCCCUUAGUGCUGCAGCUAACGCAUUAAGCACUCCGCCUGGGGAGUACGGCCGCAGGCUG
rnacentral:rRNA from 1 species